UGGUGUUGAUAACGCAUAGGCCCCACCUGUUCCCAUCCCGAACACAGAAGUUAAGCUAUGUCGUGCCGAAAAUACUUGGCGGGAAGCUGCCUGGGAAAAUAGGUAGAUGCCA
rnacentral:rRNA from 1 species